ensembl:lncRNA
GAGGAAAAGAGGAAGAUCUUUGAGGAAGUUCAUGGAUGUAGUGAAGGAGGAUAUAGAGAAGAAGUUAUGGAUAGGAUAAGAUGGAGGCAGAUGAUCCACUGUAGUCACCCCUAAAGGGAGGAGUCAGAAGAAGAACUCAGCUCAUCUGAAGAGGCUAGAACAGGACAAGCCAAUAUUGAUGAUUACCAGUCCAACACCAAAUUCCAACUGUGACUGAAUUUAGUCAGUCACUCUCAAGACACACAUCAACAUUUGUAAUUGCUUACAAAUGUCAAACUUGUAAAUCACGUUAUUAAAUUUUCUUUUACAAAAAAAAGGACUUCUGUUUUGAAAUGAGAUUUUUGCCUCUGUGUGUAACCGAUUCAAUUUUAAGUUUUCCUUCUGCUGAGGCAUGCAGUCUCAAAAGUACUUAAACAGUGGUUUGACCAUUUCCCCACAAAAGACGAGGUUGUAGUGGUCUAAGAGCACGCCAGUAUAACAAAUCUGAACAUUACAGCUAGAUGAGCUACAGUUGUCACGGUCCUGGGUCGGUGACCCAUUUAAAAAAAAAAAAAAAAAAAUUUAAAAGAGGGACAAUACAUAUUAAUGAACAUUUUAACAAAAGUAAAUAUGCCAGAUUAUAGCUGUCACUGCCGGCAGGGAAAAGGACUCUCAAGUGCAGACACCACUCGGACGCACGUGACGCGAAGGAAGGAGUUCAAAGCUUUAUUUACAGUACGUCACAGAACAGACAGGAGAAAAGUGCAAAUAAAAUUGACGCUUUGGUGUGAUUACAUGAUUUGACGUGAACUCAGGAUGACAACUUAAAUAUAGACUGGAGACUUUCAGAUCAAACUAGACUUCAGACAAUAGCUCAACUAUCAUCUCUGAUCAAUUAUCAACACGUCGUCCUACAAAAAGACUGAGGCAGAAACAGCCAACAACUAUAAAUGUCCCUCAGCCAAACUAUGAAUGACAGAUAAGCUCAGAUUUCCUACGACCUCUGAAUGUUACACGAGCACGAC